ACUUUCAUACAUAUAGCCUGUUAAUCUCACAUGGUCCCCCACUGAAGCACAGGGCUGUGCUCGGUCAGUACCUGGAUGGGAGACCACAUGGGAAAGCUAGGGUGCUGCCGAAAGUG
rnacentral:rRNA from 1 species